GUAUAUGAGGUGAUUAAUUGGAGGGCAAAUCAAGUGCCAGCAGCCGCGGUAAUACUUGUUCCAAGAGUGUGUAUGAUGAUUGAUGCAGUUAAAAAGUCCGUAGUUUAUUUUUUUAAGAAGCAAUAUGAGGUGUACUGUAUAGUUGGGAGAAAGAUGAAAUGCGACGACCCUGACUGGACGAACAGAAGCGAAAGCUGUACACUUGUAUGUAUUUUUUGAACAAGGACGUAAGCUGGAGGAGCGAAGAUGAUUAGAUACCAUUGUAGUUCCAGCAGUAAACUAUGCCGACGAUGUGAUAUGAAAAUGUUAAUUUGUAUUACAUAAUAGAAAUUUGAGUUUUUUGGCUCUGGGGAUAGUAUGAUCGCAAGAUUGAAAAUUAAAGAAAUUGACGGAAGAAUACCACAAGGAGUGGAUUGUGCGGCUUAAUUUGACUCAACGCGAGGUAACUUACCAAUAUUUUAUUAUUUUGAGAGAACGGUUUUUGUUUGAGAAUGAUAAUAGUGGUGCAUGGCCGUUUUCAAUGGAUGCUGUGAAGUUUUGAUUAAUUUCAACAAGACGUGAGACCCUUAUUAUUUAUUAAAGACAGACACAAUCAGUGUAGGAAGGAAAGGAUUAAAACAGGUCCGUUAUGCCCUCUGACAUUUUGGGCUGCACGCGCAAUACAAUAGAUAUA
rnacentral:rRNA from 1 species